rnacentral:rRNA from 1 species
GAGUAACGCUACGGCAGGCUACCACAUGUUAGUCGAACGGUAACAGGGAACAAGCUUGCUUUUCCGCUGACGAGUGGCGCACGGGUGCGCAACGCGUAUAGAACCUACCUUUUACUGGAGAAUAGCCCAGAGAAAUUUGGAUUAAAGCUCCAUAGUAUUGUUUUGAGGCAUCUUAAGAUGAUUAAAGGUUACGGUAAAAGAUGGCUAUGCGUCCUAUUAGUUAGUUGGUAAGGUAACGGCUUACCAAGACAUCGAUAGGUAAGGGCCCUGAGAGGGGGAUCCCCCACAACUGGUACUGAGACACGGACCAGACUCCUACGGGACGCAGCAGUGAGGAAUAUUGGACAAUGGGCGGAAGCCUGAUCCAGCCAUGCCGCGUGCAGGAAGACAGCCCUAUGGGUUGUAAACUGCUUUAUAUACAGGAAGAAUAAGUCCCUUGCGAGGGAUGAUGACGGUACUGUAAGAAUAAGGACCGGCUAACUCCGUGCCAGCAGCCGCGGUAAUACAGGAGGGUCCAAGCGUUAUCCG